rnacentral:lncRNA from 1 species
CGGAGGGAGUACAUAAAUUGCCAAGUUAUGUUCUCUAUUGCCCAAACACUCGCCAAGACUACCUUAUCAAAGGAUCAAGGAGAUACUAGUAACUAGCCAAGUUAGGAGGAAUGACAGCCAUAUCUUGCUUUGUUUCUUCAGAUCCAAACGCACACUAAAGGCCUUUCUUCCCGAUAAAAACUGGUCUGUCAAGCCCUGAAAUAGUUACGCUGUACGUCAGAUGUAGAAACACACAUGUCACAAUUGCAAGGACAAACAUAACUGCUCCCCUCCUCAGUUUAUCGCAAAAGAUAAAUUCCCUCUCUAAUACAUAAUUAAUUAAAUGGAGGCGGUAUCCCAGAAUAAUCUCAUACAUAAUGAAGAUGCACGUGUGAUGAUUUAUAAAAUGGAUUAUGCUAACCUUUGAGUCCUUCAUUUUCCAUGCACGUGGGAUUUCCCACAAUUUAUGCAGGGGCUAAAAUAUCAUACUGUUAAGCACCAGAAUCAGCUCUUUCAGUCCUCAAUUUCACAGGAACAAUUUCAUCUUAUGACUGCCGUAAAAUUCAGUACAUACUACUAAUGCAAAUUUCACUCUCCAACUAAGAUUUUUAAUGAGGCACUCUUCGCUACUAAUAUUAUCAAGCAUAAUCAAAUAUCUCACAAUAUCAGCAGGCAAUCAACAAGGUGGGGAAAAUAUCUGGUGCACCGGAGCUUGUGGUGCUACCGAUGCACCGAACUCACAUUGUGCUUUUAAAACGUUCAAAAAAUUCUGCAAAAAAAUUAGUACUCACACAACAUCAAUGUAGGUUGUCACAAAAUUUCAAGUCAAAAUUCGAAACAUAACUCAAAAAACAAAAAUGAAAAAUUCAACACUGAGUAGUACAUAACAUUAACUUGGGCUUUAGAUUUGGCCCAUUUUCACACUGACGCCAAAUUUGUCAUUUUUGUAUCUCAAAAAAUAUUUUGAAUUUGUAUACGAUUUUUUGUGACAUCAUACAUUGAUGUUGUGUUAAGGUGCUAGAAUUUUUUCAUAUUUUUAAAAAUAUUCGAUAGCAUUCGGUGCACCAGUAGCACCACAAGUGUGGGUGCACCGGAUACAUUCCCCAACAAGAUGGACCAUCAACAUGCAUUUUUGGAACUAGAAUGUGGCACAGAGAAAUACGAUCAACAACUAGGGAGUGGAAAUUAUGCUCUUCUAUUACAAAGGGAUAACAGUUAGUACUUGGUACUCCCUCCGUGAAGAAAUAUAAGAGUGUUUUGAUCACUACUUUAGUGAUCUAAUCACUCUUAUAUUUCUUUAGAGGGAGUAGCAUCUAAGGCCUAAUAUAAAUAAAGGCUUGUGUGACUGACAGGCAUACAACAACCAAUUAAAACACUAUUUUUCUGCAGAACCUAAAUAUUGUACAAGGAACAUCUUUACCUCUCGUGUGAAAGAAACCCUAUGCAAACAAGGUUAGACAAUUAAAAAUACAUAGUUUACAUUACCGCAAGUAAAAGGAAUGCACCUUUAGUUUGAAAUGGAAUGUCUGAUAAGCCUACCUUACAGGGAGAUUCAAAAGAAUUAUCAUGGAACCUUGAUUUAAAUCUUUUCAACUUGCUGAUUGCUGGACUAUCAAGGAGAUCAAGUAGAAGAGGGUUAAGUCCUCUUGGUUUGUGGGUUGAGUCGACCAAAAAUUCAGCAAAUAUUGACAGUCGUUUUCAUUGCAAUGGAAAUAAAUCCAUCUAGAAACUGCUAGGAGCCAAGCAUUGCUCCAGACAACAUGAAACACAGAACAGAAGUUAAAUUACUCAUGUCAUUAGAUGGAUAAUCACAAUAAUUUUACUUGUGACAUUGGGGUAGAGGUGGGAUGCAAAUCCUCACAAUGGCAAAGUGUUGGUAUGGCGCUAGCUAAGCUUGUAAUUACUGUUGUUCCCCAAAAGCUCGAGACAUUGCCGUUCGAAUAAAUCCAACUUGAAUUCUGUGAAGUAGGCUAAUGGCAACUAAACAAGAAAAUUAUGUGAUGCACUGUAUCUGGACUUCUGGAGUGAGCAGAGAUUUGGGAGCAUUACUGAAGAAUAUACGCGAUUCUAAAGAAUACACACGCAAUGAAAAAGGGCUGAGAAACUCUGUCCUUGCCAGAAUCCGUACCAGCCUCGAGGGGACACAGGCCUUCCAUCGGCAGGAAGAUGCGAUGCCCCAGGCCCGAAUCCUCUGCAGUCGAUUUCACAUGCUGAUGCCCACCCCCGAAUCAACCGAGAGCAGAAGCACAACAGUAGGGACGAUGUAAUGUGUCGCCGUGAAGCCGAGGCCCCGAUUCCUCCGCGUCUGAAGCCAAGCGCUGACGAGGACACCCAACGCAAAACCGCCCGCUCGUGGCCAAAACCGAUCGACCCUCGCCUCCGACCUCGAUGCUGCUGGUAGCGGAGCCGCGUUUCCCAGAAACUGCGGGGAGGCUAGCUCGCAAUACCCACGACCAAAUUUUCUUUUCCUCGCUAACAUAAAGAAAAUCAUUGUCUGCAGCCGUGGUGGGAAUUGUUUUUUGCUUUUGGUGGACCAACCGAGCGGAUACGAAGGGAGUCCGGCUCGGUGGGUCGUUCGACCGAGAGAGAGCUGGAACAGGGGCUCCAAGAGGAAGAAGCAAGCAAGUGGAGGAGGUGGCUGCACCAUUUGCUCUGCUUGCUUCUCUGCACUUACGCAGCUGCUGGGGUUUCGGUCCAAGCCAAAGGGGAGUAGCCGCCGUUUCAGGCGCCCUGACUUCCCUUCAUCUUCUCCAGCAGCCUGUGCUAGACAAGGGGAGAUAAAACCCCACAGUUCCGCACCUGCUGCUCCUUGUGCCCCAUGCCGACCUCUCCUCCACCCCUGAUGCAUGCACCGGCUAGAGCUCAGGCCUCCAUGCUCCCUCGGCCGCUAGCCUAAUGACCGUCCCUACGACCCUGAGCGUCUCCGCCAACCCUGAGUAUGAUAACGACAUGAUCAUCAAUUGGCGACGACCCUCAGUAUAUUGCCUUUGUGAAGGCACGUCUUAGUGAGCAGUUUCUUAUGUCUGAUUUUGGCCUACUUUCUUGGGAUAGAGGUCUCUUCUACCAUUGAUGGUUUUUUUUUAUUUUCUAAGAAAAAUAUAUCCAGAAUCUUCUUGCUCAUGCUGCUCUUACAGAUGAGUGCACUGUUGAGACUCCCAUGGAGUCAAUGUUCACCUUCGUGCUAGUGAUGGUGACCCUUGUCUAAUCCGACGUGUUAUCAUCAUCUUGUUGGGAGUCUUGUUUAUCUAGAUGUUACUCGUCCAGAUAUCUCCUAUCCCGUCCAUAGUUUGAGUCAGUUUGUCUUUGCACCCACAUUGGUUCACUAUAGUCACCUCCUCCUUCGUGUUCUCUGAUAUCUUCGUGGCACGAUCUCUCACCGUAUGUUCUUUCCCUGCUCUAGUUCAUUAUAGCUUCAGGCCUAUUCAAAUGCUACGUGGACUAGUGAUCCCUGGGAUCGUCGUUCACUUUUUGCUUAUUGUGUUUUUCUUGAUGGUUCUGUCACUGCCUCGAAGACAAAGAAACAGACUACAAUUUCACGUUUGGGUGCAGAGCCUGAGCCUCGAGCUCUGGCUCUUUUGACGGCAAAGGUGAGUUGGUUACGAUGGUUACUUCAGAAGUUUGGUACUUCUGUCACUACACCUACUUUGCUCCUAUUUGACAAUACAGGUGCUCAUAGUGUUGCGCGCGACCCAGUGAAGAAUGAGCUCACCAAGCAUAUUGGCGUUGAUGCUUUUUUGUGUGUGCUGGUGUGCAAAAUUCAGGUUAUUGCACCUCAGUAUGUGCCUUCGGAGUUACUGUUGGCAGAUUUCUUUAGGAAAGCCCAAACUAGAGCACAACACGACUUCUAUAUCUAUCUCUCCAAGCUCGGUGUUGUUGAUCCACCAUGAGUUUGAGGGAGGGGGAGUUAAGAGUUAUAUAUUUAGUCGUGUACCCCUUUGUAUUGUCCCCGCUCUGUAAAGGUUUUUUUUUGCAUAUUGUAAAACACUUGUACGUGUAUACAAUGGCAUAUGGCCACCUGGAAACACAGUUGCAUAUUUCCUAACAGGAACCUCCCUCCUUGUUAAUGGCCAAACACUUCUUAGCACUUUUGUCCUUUCAUGUUCAUCAACAUACGAUGCAGCUCAUUUCUGGUGGUCAGAUUGUUGACUCUGGUUGUCGGGUAAUUCUCGACUUUGACGCAUGCUUUGUUUUGGACCGUCACACUGGUGCUAUCCUUGGUGCUGGCCCCCNNNNNNNNNNGUCCACCCAUCCCACCGUGUCUUCCCAUACUACUGUUGUAGACCCCACACCGUCGUCACUUGCAGCUUCCCCACCUCGUUCAUUACCUGAGGCUUCCCCAUUGAUUCCCCCUCAUCAUCUUCUUUACUACACUGGUCAUCCGCGUGUUGUGAAUUCUUCUGAUGAGCCAUCUCCCUCGACUAUUGUCUUCUUCUGUUGGCAACUCACCGCCUCCAGCUUAGCCUACUUAUGGCUUUCGAGCUCGCCCGCUUCCGCCUACUGACCGCUAUGGUUAUUCUAGCACCGCUCUUCUCGAGACGACUUAUCAUGACGUUGUUGCUCAUCCUAAAUGGCAGCAUGUGAUGACAUCGGAGAUUGAUGCUCUUUCGCACAUUGGCACGUGGGAUCUCAUUUCCCUUCCUCCUCGUGCUCGUCUCAUCACUUGUAUGUGGGUCUACAAGGUUAAGACUGAUGGUUCUCUUGAGCAUUACAAAACUCGUCUAGUGAUGUGAACAUGGUCAUGACUACGAUGAGACAUUUGCCCCUAUGGCCCACAUGACCACUCUUCGCACGCUUUUCAUUGUGGCUUCUCUUCCCGAUGACAUGGUUUGUCGUCUUUGUCGCUAUCUAUAUGGCCUUAAGUAAACCCCUCGUGUCUGGUCUGAGUGCUUCAUCUCAAUAGUGAUUGCGGCUGGUUUUCGGUGAGUGCUCAUGAUCCUGCACUUUUUGUCUACAUUUCAACUCGUGGGCGAACUCUUCUAUAUGUCGAUCAUCACCGACAACGAUUCUAAGUACAUUGCCUUUGUGAAGGCUCGUCAUAGUGAGUUUCUUAUGUCUGAUAUUGGUCCUCUUCGCUACUUUCUUGAGACUGAGGUUUCUUCUACCUUUAAUGGCUUCUUUAUUUCCCAAGAGUAUAUCCAGGAUUUUCUUGCUCUUACUGAUAAGCGCACUAUUAAGACUCCUAUGAAGCUCAACUUCCACUUUGUAUCCACCUCCGCUCCCUACCAGUCCGAGUGGGCAUCCGUUGCCUCGUUGUGGGUUACUGUGUGUGUUGCCUCGAUCCCACAUCUUGUCUUCCCUUGUUGGGCGGCCGCAUCACCGCACACUCAGGCACCACCAUCGGCGAGCAGGAGCACGAGCAAGCGUCCUUUUGACCUUGUUCAGUCUUAUGUCUGGGCCCAUCUCCCUUUGCCUUGGAAGGAGGUCAUCACUAGUAAAUUAUCUUUAUAGAUGAUUUCUCUUAACACACAUGGAUAUACUUUAUUUCUUCCAGGCGUGCAAUCUGUGCGACGGAACAUGGCCAAUUUUCAGGGGCCGUGAAAUUCCUAGUACAAGGCAGCCUAUAGCAAGCAGCAGCCAGCAGGCCUGCUACUCGAUAUCCAGCAUGGGCUUGUAAGCCGCCCCGCUAGCGCUAGCGCGUCUAGCCGUCCAGGCUGUAUAGAGUCUCCCAUGGAGCCCAUACGUCGAGCAAUCAAGGCAUCGAGCCAUCGAGGACACCAACUCGAGUGGACGAGUCCUCUCCAACGCCGCCUCCUGCCCUCAUCUCUUGUCUGUUCGUCUCCUCUCUCUUUUUCCAGUACGACGCUUGAAGCUCAGCGAUCCUCCAUCAGUCCAUCCCCAUCCAAUUCAGCAUGUGACGCUUCUAUCAGCUGUCGGCCAUCGAUCCGUGAGUUCCGCAGAUCGCAUUCAAUCUAGCAAUUUUAAUUUGUGCCAAUAGCUGGUUGAUAAUUCUGUUAUUUUAUAGAAGUACUUAGAAUUUACUUUUCAAUAUCAUCACCGGAUAAUUUUGUUAUUUAUGUUCUCUUCUAUAUGUCGAUCAUCACCGACAACUCUAUCUUUUCUAUACACGUUUCAAGAUCCUCAAGAUAGAGAACAUAAAUCCGGUGACCAAAAGAAUUUGAAAAAAACAUAAAACAGACAAGUUAAUCGAAAGGAGCCAUGGAUAAGUUUGUUGCAAAAGAACCACACGUAUCCUCUAAUAAUCAAUCACAGGAUCAAGGCCUCACGGUUGAUAAUAAUGUUGACCCUGAUGUUGACAAUGAUCAUAGAGAUGAACAAGCAGAGAAAGAAAAUAAUGAUGAGGUUGAUGAUGAUCUUAUUGGUAAAACAGACAUUGAUAUGGAUAAUAAUGGUGAUGACAUCGGGACAACUAGUAUUGAUGUUAACUCAAAUACUUCACCUGUUGCGGAUGUCAGUGGUUCUUUUCAUGUUAAUAUAUUUGAUCCAAGAAAUUGGGGUUCUCUUGAUCCUAAGCAGAUUGACAUUUUAGCACAAAAGGCCCUAAAAGAGACUCACAAUUUCAAAAAGGUCUUAAGAACAGAUAUUCUAGCAGGUUUUCUGCACUAUUCAAUACUAGAAUUAUGUCAAAUGGGGAGCAUUGCGAUAGAGAUUGGCUUGUCUAUUCUAAGGAACUCGAUAGACUAUUUUGCUUUGGUUGUAAAUUAUUUACAAAAGGGCAUAGAAAAGGUCAAUUGGCAAACGAGGGGUGUGAUGAUUGGAUACAUCUUGGCAGUACACUUAAAGAGCAUGAGACAAGUGUAGAUCAUGUUUUGAAUAUGACCACUUGGUAUGAGCUCUGUACUACUAGAUUGCAAAAGCAUCAAACUAUUGAUAAAGAUGCUCAAGGACAACUUGAGAAUAAAAAGGAGCACUGGAGAAAAAAUUUGUUCAGAAUUGUUUGCAUUAUUAAAUUUCUUGCCAAGCAUAAUCUAGCCUUUCAUGGUAGUAACAGCAAACUGUAUGAAGACAGCAAUGGGAAUUUCUUGGGUCUGUAGAGAUGUUGGAUGAAUUUAACACAGUUAUUCAAGAGCAUGCUUGUAAUGAAGAAACUCAUGCUCAUCAUCUUGAUCAUAAGAUUUAGAAUGAGUUGAUACACUUGUUUGCUUCAGCUAUUAAUUGUUAAGAAAAUAAAGAGUGCAAAAUAUUUCUCGGUCAUACUUGAUUGUACCCUGAUGCAAGCCACCAAGAACAUAUAUUUCCUUUCUUUUCAUUUUAGGUAUCCGCAACUGAUAAUGAUAUAAAACGAGCAGCGAGGCAAAAGGUUUGGCAAAUAAUGAACCUGGGGAGUAUGAAUUUAUAGUGGCAAUAGUAAUUUGGUCUGAGGUACUAUAUGUUGUUAAUUUAGUAAGCAAAAACUUGCAAGCAAAGAAUAUGCUUAUAGAUGUUGCUAUUGAGAAAGUGAAAGGGUUGAUUUUUUUUCGAAGGGUAUAGAGAAAGUGGAUUUUUAGAAGCAUUGGAGAUAGCCAAAAAAUUGCACUUGAUAUGGUUAUUAGUACAACAUUUCAUGAAAGACGAGAAAUUAAAAGAAAGAGACAUUUUGAUGAGAACCCAGAUGACACAACUGUUGCCACACAGUCUACAGAGGAAUCAUUUAGAAACGGUUAUUUUCCAACUAUUGUCGUUCAAGCAAUUAUGUCACUUACAAGCAGAUUUGAACAAUACGAGGUUAGCAGAAAAAUUUUCAUUUCUUAUUUACUUCCAAAUCAUUGCAGUCGUUGGAUAAUGGGAGCUUGAAAUCUUCUUGUGAUAAUCAUGAGGCAGCCCUUAAAAAGAUGGCAAAUCUGACAUUUAUGCCAAUGAACUGUAGUGGAGUUGAGGUUACUUAAAGAUUCCAUUCCAAAGGAUGAUAUGGGGCCAGUUGAAAUUCUAAAGUUUUUAGAGUGACAUGAUUGGAAAUUCUAAACUUUUUAAAGUGACAUGAUUGUUUUCCCACUACAGGUAUUGCAUACAUAGUUCUAUUGACCAUUCCUAUGACUUUUGCAUCAGCAGAAAGAAGCUUUUCAAAAUUGAAGCUAUUGAAGUCCUAUAUGUGUACUAAAAUGACACAACAAAGGCUUACUGAUUUGGCUACAACAGCACUUGAGAGUGAAGUGUUGGAGAACAUUGAUUACAAGGAUAUAUUUGAAGAUUUCAUUUCAAAGAACACUAAAAGAAUGUUGUUAUUCAAGUAAAGACUAUGCAACCAAGCUUCUGAUAGGUAUGAGCAAGGUAAUCUUGCUCAAUUCUCUUGUCCUGGUGCAUAUGCUCAGAAUGGCGAGGCUGAGUGCAAGCAUCGUCACCUUCUUGAGAUGGCUCGUCCGUUGAUAGUCACUACCUCUCUUCCGCCGCACUUUUGGGCCGAGUUUGUCCCCACUUCCAUCUAUCUCAUCAAUCUUCAGCAAUCCACUGCUCUGAAGGGUGGCACUCCUUUUCAAGCGUCAAUUUGAUGGUUUCCUGAUUAUUCGGCACUUCAAUUGUCUUUGUCACUGUCUAUAUGGCCCUAAGCGAACCCCUCGUGGCUGGUUUGAGUGCUUUGUCUCAGUGGUGAUUGCCGCUAGUUUUUGGCGAGUGCUCAUUAUCCAACACUUUUGGUCCACCAUUCAACUCGUGGUCGAACACUUCUACAAGUCGAUCAUCACUAGCAAAGACUCUAAGUACAUUGCCUUGGUGAAGGCUCUUCAUAGUGAAUUUCUUAUGCCCAAUCUUGGUCCUCUUCAGUACUUCCUUGAGAUUGAGGUUUCUUCUACCUCUAGUGACUUCUUUAUUUUCUAAGAGAAGUAUGUCUAGGAUCUUCUUACUCAUGCUACUCUUACUGAUAAGCGCAUGGUUGAGACUCCUAUGGAGUCAACGUCCACCUUUGUGACCACCUCCGCUACCUACCAAUCUGGAUGGGCAUCCAUUGCCUUGCUGCGGGUUGCUACGAGCACUGUCUCAAUCCCACAUCCCGUGUUCCCUUUAUGUGUGACGCCAUAACCGCACGCUCGGGCACCACCAAUGAUGAGCAAGAGCUCGAAAAGUCGAUGCAUACCUCGAUUAUGCAUAGGACGAGCCGAGGACAGGCGCUACCUAAAGUUGGGGUCAAGGGCGCCCGAAGAGACAUUUACUCCUAUAUAUAUGGCCCACGUGACCACUCUUCGCACACUUCCUCAAUAUGGCUUCUAUUCACCGCUAGUCUGUCUCUCAGCUUGAUGUCAAGAAUGCCUACAAGUAGCCACCACCUAGAUUCUCUUCCUAAUGGCAUGGUUUGUCGUCUUCGUCGCUGUCUAUAUGGCCCUAAGCAAACCCCUCAUGCCUGGUUUGACCGCUUCGUCUCAGUGGUGAUUGCGGCUAGUUUUUGGCGAGUGCUCAUUAUUCUACAUUUUCGGACCACCAUUGAACUCGUGGUUGAACACUUCUUCUACAUGUCAAUCAUCACUGGCAAUGACUCUUAAGUACAUGGCCUUGGUGAAGGCUCGUCAUAGUGAAUUUCUUAUGUCCAAUCUUGGUCCUCUUUGGUACUUCCUUGAGAUUGAGGUUUUCUUCUACCUCUAACGACUUCUUUAUUUUCUAAGAGAAGUAUGUCUAGGAUCUUCUUACUCGUGCUACUCUUACUGAUACCUUUGUGACCACCUCCGCCCCCUACCAGUCUGGAUGGGCAUCCUUUGCAUUGCUGCAGGUUGCUACAAGCACUGUCUCAAUCCCACAUCGCGUGUUCCCUUUCUGUGUGACACCAUAACCGCACGCUCGAGCACCAUCAAUGGUGAGCAGGAGCUCGGACAGUCGACGCGUACCUGGAUUAUGCACGGGACGAGCCGACGACAGGCACUACCUAAAGUCGAGGCCAAGGGCGCACAGUAGGAGAACUUGGGGUGCUUAAUCAAGCACGUGGCACACAACCCGCAAACAGGAAAGGAACACCCAGCCAGAUCGGCAGGGUACGAAGAGUGCACAGGCAAGUGGGAUGCCGGAUCAAGUCCCUCUCCUGCUAGUGGUCCCAGUCUGCCUCUGUUGCCUUGUCUACCAGAUAUUUUCAAGAGUGGCAUCAUCGCCUUGGGUCACUUGUGAUCUCUCAUCCUUAGUUCGACGUGAUCUUCUUGGAUCCGUCUCCGAUGAUGUCUCUAAUACGUGGUCCAGUUACCUUAUACUCAUAGCGAGACAGUGUCUUAGCAUCCUUUAGACCUUGUUCACUCUGAUCUCGAGGGAUCGUCUCCCCCUUUUCCUUCGCUAGUGACUUCUCUCAACACACCUGGAUAUAUACUUUAUUUCUUCUCGUAAUGAGGUCUUAUCUAUAAGCCUUUUGCUGCCAUGGUCCGCACUCAAUUCUCCACGCCUAUUCAUGUGUUCUAUGGCGACUGGUGGAGAGUAUAUCUCCAAGCUGUUGCGUGGAAUCCUUGCUGAGCAGACUUUGGUUCUCUUAUCUUGGCGCUCAUGCUCAAAAUGGCAUGGCUGAGCGCAAGCAUCGUCACCUUCUUGAGACGGUUCGUCCAUUGAUGGUCACUGCCUCUCUUUCACCGCACUUUUUGGGCCAACUCUGUCUCCACUUCCAUCUAUCUCAUUAACCUUCAGCAAUGCACUGCUCUGCAGGGUGACGCUCCUUUCGAGCGUCUAUUUGAUCGUUUAUUCGGCGCUUCAAUUUUUUGGUUGUGUUUGCUAUGUCCUUCUUGCCCCGCGUGAAUGCACCAAACUGACUUCUCAAUCAGUUGAGUGUGUCUUCUUAGGAUACAACAUUGAGCAUAAGGGAUACCAUUAUUGGGACAUGUUGGGCGUCAGAUGGCUAUUUCUCUGGAUAUGACUUUUGAUGAGUCUCAUCCCUUCUACCCGUUUCCAUCUUCCUCGACCUUUUCAAUGGAGGAUAUCUCUCUCUUUUUUAAAUGCAACACUCCUAUCACUCCCUGAUCCAGUCGUCGUACUGCUCAUGCUUCUCUGAUUAUGUGGAUCCAAUGCCAUCAUCUCCUAUGAUUUCCUCACCUCGCUUAUCACAGGAUUCUACAUAUUCAUCAGUUGUGGCUUCCUUGUCUCCAUCACCUAAGUUUAUCACGUUAAUUUCUGCUCGUAUUUUUCCAUCUUUUCCUCACUUUUAUAUACAUCGUCCGCAUGUUGCGAAUAUGUCUACUGAUGAGCCACUUCCCCUCUCGGCCUACUUAUGGCUUGCUUCCUCGUCUGCUUCCGCCUGUUGACCGCCUUGGUCUUCCAAGCGUUGGCACUGGUGUUCUUGAGCCGACUUCUUAUCGUGAUGUUAUGCAUACCAAAUGGCACCUUGCGAUGGCAAGGGAGAUUAUUGCUCUUGAGCGCAUCGACAUGUGGGAUAUUGUUUCUCUUCCUCGUGUUCGUCCCAUCACUUGGUGGGAAUGUUAUGACUCACUUUGACUUUUUAUAUGUUCCUUCUUUUGAUCAUGUUCCUCGACUUUACUACACUCGUGGUUCGCGUGUUGUGGAUUCUUCUGAUAUGCCAUCUCCCUCGACGAUUAUAUCUUCUUCCGAUGGCAACGCACGGCCUCCAGCUUAACCUACUUAUGGCUUUCGAGCUCGCCCGCUUCUGCCUAUUGACCGCUAUGGUUACUGCGUAGCUCUUCCCAAGACGACUUCUUGCCAUGAGGUUGUUCAUCCCAAAUGGCUGCUUGUGAUGGCAUCGAAGAUUCAUGCUCUUGCCCGCAUCGACACGUGGAAUCUCAUUUCCCUUCCUCCUCGUGCUCGUCUCAUAACUUGUAAGUGGGUCUACAAGGUUAAGACUGAUGAUACUCUUGAACGUUACAAAGCUCGUUUAAUGGUGAGAACAUGGCCAUGACUACGAAGAGACAUUUACUCCUAUAUAUAUGGCCCACGUGACCACUCUUCACACACUUCCUCAAUGUGGCUUCUAUUCGCCGCUAGUCUAUCUCUUAGCUUGAUGUCAAGAAUGCCUACAAGUAGCCACCACCUAGAUUCUCUUCCUAAUGGCAUGGUUUGUCGUCUUCAUCGUUGUCUAUAUGGCCCUAAGCAAACCCUCGUACCUGGUUUGACCGCUUCUGUCUUAGUGGUGAUUGCGGCUAGUUUUUGGCGAAUGCUCAUUAUCCUGCACUUUCGGUCCAGCAUUCAACUCGUGGUCAAACAGUUCUUCUACAUGUCAAUCAUCACUAGUGAAAGCUCGUCAUAGUGAAUUUCUUAUGUCCGAUCUUGGUCCUCUUCCGUACUUCUUUGAGAUUGAGGUUUCUUCUACCUCUAUUGACUUCUUUAUUUUCCAAGAGAAGUAUGUCUAGGAUCUUCUUACUUGUACUACUCUUACUGUACCUUUGUGACCACCUCCACUCCCUACCAGUCUGGAUGGGCAUCCUUUGCCUUGCUGCGGGUUGCUACAAGCACUGUCUCAAUCCCACAUCUUGUGUUCCCUUUAUGUGUGACACCAUAACCGCACGCUCGAGCACCACCAAUGGUGAGUAGGAGCUCGGACAGUCGACGCGUACCUGGAUUAUGCACCGGACGAGCCGACGACAUGCGCUACCUAAAGUCGAGGCCAAGGGCACACAGUAGGAGAACUUAGGGUGCUUAAUCAAGCACGUGGCACACAACCCACAAACAGGAAAGGAACACCCAGCCAGAUCGGCGGGGUACGAAGAGUGCACAGGCAAGUGGGAUGCCGGAUCAAGUCCCUCUACUGCCAGUGGUGCCAGUCUGCCUUUGUUGCCUUGUCUACUAGAUAUUUUUCAAGAGUGGCAUCAUCGCCUUGGGUCACUUGUGAUCUCUCAUCCUUAGUUCGACAUGAUCUUCUUGGAUCCGUCUCCGAUGAUGUCUCUAAUACGUGGUCCAGUUACCUUAUACUCAUACGGAGACAUUGUCUCAGCAUCCUUUAGACCUUGUUCACUCUGAUCUCGAGGGAUCAUCUCCCCCUUUUCCUUCGCUAGUGACUUCUCUCAACACGCCUGGAUAUAUACUUUAUUUCUUCUCGUAGUGAGGUCUUAUCUAUAAGCCUUUUGCUGCCAUGGUUCACUCUCAAUUCUCUACGCCUAUUCAUGUGUUCUAUGGUGACUCUGGUGAAGAGUAUAUCUCCCAAGUUGUUGCAUGGAAUCCUUGCUGAGCAAACUUUGCUUCUCUUAUCAUGUUGCUCAUGAUCACAAUGGCAUGGCUGAGCGCAAGCAUCAUCACCUUCUUGAGACAGCUCGUCCAUUGAUGGUCAUCGCCUCUCUUUCACCGUACUUUUGGGCCAGCUUUGUCUCCACUUCCGUAUAUCUCAUGAACCUUCAGCAAUCCACUGCUCUGCAGGAUAACGCUCCUUUCAAGCGUCUAUUUGAUCGUUUAUUCGGCGCUUCAAUUUUUUGGUUGUGUUUGCUAUGUCCUUCUUGCCCCGCGUGAACGCACCAAAUUGACUUCUCAGUCCGUUGAGUGUGUCUUCUUAGGAUACAACAACAUUGAGCAUAAGGGUAUCAUUAUUGGGAUCAUGUUGGGCGUCAGAUGGCUAUUUCUCGGGAUAUGACGUUUGAUGAGUCUCAUCCAUCUUCGUCGACCUUUUCAAUGGAGGAAAUCUUUUUUUUAAAUCCAACACUCCUAUCACUCCCUAAUCCAAUUGUCGAACUGCUCAUGCUUCUCUAAUUAUUGUAGAUCCAAUGCCAUCAUCUCCUAUAAUUUCCUCACCUCGCUUAUCACAGGAUUCUACACCUUCAUCAGUCGUGGCUUCCUUGUCUCCAUCACCUGAGUUUAUACCGUUGAUUUCAGCUUGUAUUCUUCCAUCUAUUCCUCACUUUUAUAUACAUCGUCCGCGUGUUGUGAAUGUGUCUACUGAUGAGUCACUUCCCCUCUCGGCCUACUUAUGGCUUGCUUCUCGUCCGCUUCCGCCUGUUGGCCGCCUUGGUCUUCCAAGCGUUGGCGCUGGUGUUCUUGAGCCGACUUAUCGUGAUGUUAUGCAUACCAAAUGGUACCUUGCGAUGGCAGGGGAGAUUAUUGCUCUUGAGCGCGUUGGCACGUGGGAUAUUGUUUCUCUUCCUCGUGUUCGUCCCAUCACUUGGUGGGAAUGUUAUGACUCACUUUGACUUUUUAUAUGUUCCUUCUUUUACUCAUGUUCCUCGACUUUACUACACUCGUGGUCCGCGUGUUGUGGAUUCUUCUGAUAUGCCAUCUCCCUCGACUAUUAUAUCUUCUUCCGUUGGCAACGCACGGCCUCCAGCUUAGCCUACCUAUGGCUUUCGAGCUCGCCCACUUCUGCCUAUUAACCGCUAUGGUUACUACGCAGCUCUUCCCGAGACGACUUCUUGCCGUAAGGUUGUUCAUCCCAAAUGGCUGCUUGUGAUGGCAUCAAAUAUUCAUGCUCUCGCCCGCAUCAACAGGUGGAAUCUCAUUUCCCUUCCUCCUCCUGCUUGUCUCAUCACUUGUAAGUGGGUCUACAAGGUUAAGACUGAUGAUACUCUUGAACUUUACAAAGCUCGUUUAAUGGUGAGAACAAGGUCAUGACUACGAAGAAACAUUUACUCCUAUAUAUAUGGCCCACGUGACCCCUCUUCACACACUUCCUCAAUGUGGCUUCUAUUCGCCGCUAGUCUAUCUCUUAGCUUGAUGUCAAGAAUGCCUAAAAGUAGCCACCACCUAAAUUCUCUUCCUAAUGGCAUGGUUUGUCGUCUUCGUCGCUGUCUAUAUGGCCCUAAGCAAACCCCUCGUGCCUGGUUUGACCGAUUCAUCUUAGUGGUGAUUGCGGCUAGUUUUUGGCGAGUGCUCAUUAUCCUACACUUUCAGUCCACCAUUCAACUCGUGGUCGAACACUUCUUCUACAUGUCAAUCAUCACUGGCAACGACUCUUAAGUACAUUGCCUUGGUGAAGGCUCGUCAUAGUGAAUUUCUUAUGUCCGAUCUUGGUCCUCUUCGGUACUUCCUUGAGAUUGAGGUUUCUUCUACCUCUAAUGACUUCUUUAUUUUCUAAGAGAAGUAUGUCUAGGAUCUUCUUACUCGUGCUACUCUUACUGAUACCUUUGUGACCACCUCCACUCCCUACCAGUCCGGAUGGGCAUCCUUUGCCUUGCUGCGGGUUGCUACAAGCACUGUCUCAAUCCCACAUCCCAUGUUCCCUUUAUGUGUGACACCAUAACCGCACGCUCGAGCACCACCAAUGGUGAGCAGGAGCUCGGACAGUCGACGCGUACCUGGAUUAUGCACGAGACGAGCCGACGACAGGCGCUACCUAAAGUCGAGGCCAAGGGCGCACAGUAGGAGAACGUGGGGUGCUUAAUCAAGCACGUGGCACACAACCCGCAAACAGGAAAGGAACACACAGCCAGAUCGGCGGGGUACGAAGAGUGCACAGGCAAGUGGGAUGCCGGAUCAGGUCCCUCUACUGCCAGUGGUGCCAGUCUGCCUCUGUUGCCUUGUCUACCAGAUAUUUUUCAAGAGUGGCAUCAUCGCCUUGGGUCACUUGUGAUCUCUCAUCCUUAGUUCGACGUGAUCUUCUUGGAUCCGUCUCCGAUGAUGUCUGAAAUACGUCGUCCAGUUACCUUAUACUCAUAUGGAGACAGUGUCUCAGCAUCCUUUAGACCUUGUUCACUCUAAUCUCGAGGGAUCGUCUCCCCCUUUUCCUUCGCUAGUGACUUCUCUCAACACACCUGGAUAUAUACUUUAUUUCUUCUCGUAGUGAGGUCUUAUCUAUAAGCCUUUUGCUGCCAUGGUUCACUCUCAAUUCUCUGCGCCUAUUCAUGUGUUCUAUGGUGACUCUGGUGGAGAGUAUAUCUCCCAAGCUGUUGCGUGGAAUCCUUGCUGAGCAGACUUUGCUUCUCUUAUCCUGUUGCUCAUGCUCAAAAUGGCAUGGCUGAGCGCAAGCAUCGUCACCUUCUUGAGACAGCUCGUUCAUUGAUGGUCACCGCCUCUCUUUCAUCGUACUUUUGGGUCACCUUUGUCUCCACUUCCGUCUAUCUCAUCAACCUUCAGCAAUCCACUGCUCUACAGGGUGACGCUCCUUUCGAGCGUCAAUUUGAUCGUUUAUUCGGCGCUUCAAUUUUUUGCUUGUGUUUGCUAUGUCCUUACCCCGCGUGAACGCACCAAACUGACUUCUCAGUCCGUUGAGUGUGUCUUCUUAGGAUACAACAACAUUGAGCAUAAGGGAUAUCAUUAUUGGGAUCAUGUUGGGCGUCAGAUGGCUAUUUCUCGGGAUAUGACGUUUGAUGAGUCUCAUCCCUUCUACCCGUGUCCAUCUUCCUCGACCUUUUCAAUGGAGAAAAUGUAUUUUUUUAAAUCCAACACUCCUAUCUUUCCCUGAUCCAGUCGUCGUACUGCUCAUGCUUCUCUGAUUAUUGUAGAUCCAAUGCCAUCAUCUCCUAUGAUUUCCUCACCUCGCUUAUCACGGGAUUCUACACCUUCAUCAGUCGUGGCUUCCUUGUCUCCAUCACCUGAGUUUAUCCCGUUGAUUUCAGCUUGUAUUCUUCCAUCUUUUCCUCACUUUUAUAUACAUCGUCCGCGUGUUGUGAAUGUGUCUACUGAUGAGUCACUUCCCCUCUCGGCCUACAUAUGGCUUGCUUCCUCGUCCGCUUCCGCCUGUUGGUCGCCUUGCUCUUCCAAGCGUUGGCGCUGGUGUUCUUGAGCCGACUUCUUAUCGUGAUGUUAUCCAUACCAAAUGGCACCUUGCGAUGGCAGGGGGGAUUAUUGCUCUUGAGCGCAUUGGCACAUGGGAUAUUGUUUCUCUUCCUCGUGUUCGUCCCAUCACUUGGUGGGAAUGUUAUGACUCACUUUGACUUUUUAUAUGUUCCUUCUUUUACUCAUGUUCCUCGACUUUACUACACUCGUGGUCCGCAUGUUGUGGAUUCUUCUGAUAUGCCAUCUCCCUCGACUAUUAUAUCUUCUUCCGUUGGCAACGCACGGCCUUCAGCUUAGCCUACCUAUGGCUUUCGAGCUCGCCCACUUCUGCCUAUUGACCGCUAUGGUUACUGCGCAGCUCUUCCCGAGACGACUUCUUGCCGUAAGGUUGUUCAUCCCAAAUGGCUGCUUGUGAUGGCAUCGAAUAUUCAUGCUCUCGCCCGCAUCAACAGGUGGAAUCUCAUUUCCCUUCCUCCUCCUGCUUGUCUCAUCACUUGUAAGUGGGUCUACAAGGUUAAGACUGAUGAUACUCUUGAACUUUACAAAGCUCGUUUAAUGGUGAGAACAAGGUCAUGACUACGAAGAAACAUUUACUCCUAUAUAUAUGGCCCACGUGACCCCUCUUCACACACUUCCUCAAUGUGGCUUCUAUUCACCGCUAGUCUAUCUCUUAGCUUGAUGUCAAGAAUGCCUAAAAGUAGCCACCACCUAAAUUCUCUUCCUAAUGGCAUGCUUUGUCGUCUUCGUCGUUGUCUAUAUGGCCCUAAGCAAACCCAUCGUGCCUGGUUUGACCGAUUCAUCUUAGUGGUGAUUGCGGCUAGUUCUUGGCGAGUGCUCAUUAUCCUACACUUUCAGUGCUCAUUAUCCUACACUUUCGGUCCACCAUUCAACUCGUGGUCGAACACUUCUUCUACAUGUCAAUCAUCACUGGCAAUGACUCUUAAGUACAUUGCCUUGGUGAAGGCUCGUUAUAGUGAAUUUCUUAUGUCCGAUCUUGGUCCUCUUCGGUACUUCCUUGAGAUUGAGGUUUCUUCUACCUCUAAUGACUUCUUUAUUUUCUAAGAGAAGUAUGUCUAGGAUCUUCUUACUCGUGCUACUCUUACUGAUACCUUUGUGACCACCUCCGCUUCCUACCAGUCUGGAUGGGCAUCCUUUGCCUUGCUGCGGGUUGCUACAAGCACUGUCUCAAUCCCACAUCCCGUGUUCCCUUUAUGUGUGACACCAUAACCGCACGCUCGAGCACCACCAAUGGUGAGCAGGAGCUCGGACAGUCGACGCGUACCUGGAUUAUGCACGGGACGAGCCGACGACAGGCGCUACCUAAAGUCGAGGCCAAGGGCGCACAGUAGGAGAACUUGGGGUGCUUAAUCAAGCACGUGGCACAGAACCCGCAAACAGGAAAGGAACACCCAGCCAGAUCGGCGGGGUACGAAGAGUGCACAGGCAAGUGGGAUGCCGGAUCAUGUCCCUCUACUGCCAGUGGCGCCAGUCUGCCUCUGUUGCCUCAUCAUCUUGGGUCACUUGUGAUCACUCAUCCUUAGUUCGACGUGAUCUUCUUGGAUCCAUCUCCGAUGAUGUCUCUAAUACAUGGUCCAGUUACCUUAUACUCAUACGGAGACAGUGUCUCAGCAUCCUUUAGACCUUGUUCACUCUGAUCUCGAGGGAUCAUCUCCCUUUGCCUCCGCUAGUGACUUCUCUGAACACACCUGGAUAUAUACUUUAUUUCUUCUCGUAGCGAGGUCUUAUCUAUAAGCCUUUUGCUGCCAUGGUUCACACUCAAUUCUCUACGCCUAUUCAUGCGUUCUAUGGUGACUCUGGUGGAGAGUAUAUCUCCAAGCUGUUGCGUGGAAUCCUUGCUGAGCAGACUUUGGUUCUCUUAUCCUGGUGCUCAUGCUCAAAAUGGCAUGGCUGAGCGCAAGCAUUGUCACCUUCUUGAGAUGGCUCGUCCAUUGAUGGUCACCGCCUCUCUUUCACCGCACUUUUGGGCCAAGUCUGUCUCCACUUCCAUCUAUCUCAUCAAUCUUCAGCAAUCCACUACUCUGCAGGGUGACGCUCCUUUCGGGCGUCAUCUAUUUGAUCGUUUAUUCGGCGCUUCAAUUUUUUGGUUGUUGCUAUGUCCUUCUUGCCCCUCGUGAACGCACCAAACUGACUUCUUUGUCUGUUGAGUGUGUCUUAGUAUACAACGAUGAGCAUAAGGGAUAUCGUUGUUGGGAUCAUGUUGGUCGGCGGAUGGCUAUUUCUUAGGAUAUGACUUUUGUAGAGUCUCCUCCCUUCUACCAGCGUCCAUCUUCUUUGGCCUUUUAAGUGGUGCAUAUCUCUUCCCACAAUUUCCCCGAGUCGUCGUACUGCUCAUGCUUCUUUGGUUAUUGUAGAACCAACGUCAUCAUCUCCUAUGAUUUCCUCACUCGCUUAUCACAUGAUUCUACACCUUCUUCACCGGUGGCUUCCUUUGUCUCCAUCCCUUGAGUUUAUCCCCUGAUGAUUCCAGCUUCUAUUCUUCCAUUUUUUUUUCCUAACUUCUAUAUAGGUCGUCUAUGUGUUGUCGAUGCGUCUAUGUGUUGUCGAUGCGUCUACUGAUUUGUCAUCUUCCUCGUCUCAGCCUACUUAUGGCUUCCGUCCUCGUCCGCUUCGUCCUGUUGACCGCCUUGGUCUUCCAAGCGUUGGCGCUACUGUUCUUGAGCCGACUUCUUGUUGUGAUGUUGUUCAUACCAAAUGGCACCUUGUGAUGACACAGGAGAUUGCUGCUCUUGAGUGCAUCGGCACGUGGGAUAUUGUUUUUGUUCCUCCUCGUGUUCGUCCCAUCACUUGGUGGGUCUACAAGGUUAGCAUGGUCCUGAUUAUGAUGAGACUUUUGCUCUUGCAAAACUGUAUGCUUGUGACCUCUGUUCGCCACUGGUUCGUGUCUAGGCUUGAUGUUAAGAAUGUCUUUCUUAAUAGUGAGCUGCGUGAGGAGGUUUACAUACAACUUGUCUUGUGGGUCAUGGCUUUCAGCAGGAGCAUGGUCCUGAUUACUAUGAGACUUUUGGUCCUGCAAAAUUGUAUGCUUGUGGCCUCGGUUCGCCACUGGUUCGUGUCUAGGCUUGAUGUUAAGAAUGUCUUUCUUAAUAGUGAAUUGCGUGAGGAGGUUUACAUACAACCACCACCUGGGUAUUCUACUCCUUACAACAUGCUUAGUCGUCUUCAUCGCCUCUAUGGCUUUAAGAAAGCCUCUCGCGCUUGGUUUGAGCGUUUUGCCUCUAUGGUGGAUGUUACUGGUUUUCAGCGAGUGCUCAAAAUCCGACGUUGUUUGCCCUCCUUUCUGCUCUUGGUAGGACUCUUCAUAUUGAUGACAUGAUCAUCACCAAUGCAAACCGUGAGUAUAUUGCCUUUGUGAAGGCAUGUUAUGCAGUUUCUUAUGUCUUAUCUUGGCCCUCUCUGCUACUUUCUUGGGAUUGAGGUCCCUUCUUGCUCAAAAAUAAUAAUCUAGGAUCUUACUCGCGCCGCUCUUAAAGAUGAGCGCAAUGUUGAGACUCCCAUGGAGCUCAAUGUUCACCUCACUGUGCUACUGAUGUUGAUCGUUUGUCUAAUCUUACGCUUUAUCGACAUUUUGUUGGGAGUCUUGCUUUAUCGACAUUUUGUUGGGUGUCUUGUCUAUCUGCCUGACACUCGCCCGGAAGAAGAAACAGACUGCAGUGCCCCCCGUUCGAGUGCACCUCUUCCUGCGGCGCCGUCGCUCCACUUUCCUACUCUACCCUCUACUAUAUGCUCUGCGGCAUUAUCGUCGUGGCCAAGACGGUGGCAAAAUCACUAGCGUCGAUGCCUCUCGCAUGAUGUUCCUAGAGCCUUUAUCCUCUCAAGUGGCAUGAACGACCGAAGGGGACAAUGCCACCAUGGAUGUUGGCAUUCCCUCUGUUGGAUCGUGAAGUGUUUGGGAGUGAGACUAAGAGGAACACGGGAAAGGAGAUGAUGCCUAGCAUAUUAGCGGAAUGAGGCCUAAGCAAAAUUGUUGAGAUGAGUUAUAGGCCCGCUACCAAAAUGGUUGGUGUAUUCUUCUCCAAAGGGGGACACGCGUUUGAUGCAAACACGACUGAGAAGGAUAUAAUCAUACUCUAUCAAGCCCAAAUGAUAAUCUUCUUUUUUUACCCUGCUUCCAAAUAAUAAUGACCCAAACACUAAACAUAGCAUUGAUCAUAAUUCUUUAUACAUCACACCAUAUCCUUAGAAUCUACUAACAUCUAAGGCAAAUUUGAAAAUUAGAGUUUGUGAAUUAAAUAAAUGUUCACAAAUUCAAAAAAUAUGUUUGCGAAUUCGAAAAAUGUUGCCAAUUCCAGAUAUGUUCACGUAUUCAAAGAAAGUUCACGGAUUAAAAAAAAUGUGAAUUCCAAAAAUGUUCAUGUAUUCAUAAAAUGAUCACAUAUUAAAAAAUGUCCACGUAUUCAAAACAAGUUCAUGGGUUCUAAAACGAAAAAUUGUUAAAUGUUCGCGUCGAAUUCAAAAAAUGUUCGUGGAUUCUAAAACAAUGUUCACAAAUUCCAAAAAUGUUAUCGUGUUCGAAAAAUGUUUUCAUAAUUCCAAAAAUGUUAUCGUGUUCGAAAAAUGUUUUCAUAUUCAAGACAAGUAUGAAUUCCAAAAAUGUUCACGAAUUCAAAAAAUGUUCACGGAUUCUAAAAACUCUUCACAAAUUCCAAAAUUGCUCACGUAUUCGAAAAAUGUUCACAUGUUCAAAAAUUAUUCAACCAUUGGAAAAGGUUCAAAACUUUCAAAAAAUAUUCACGAAUUUGGAAAAUAUUCGGUAAUUCAAUACUUUAGCAAAUUCAAAAAUGUGAAAUGAAAAUUGUUCACAAAUUUGAAAAAGGUUCAAAAAAUUAAGAAGGAAAAAGAAAAGGCGAACACGAAGGAAAACAUAGCGUUGACCAUAAUUCUUUACACAUCACAUCAUAUUUUUUAGAAUCUACUAACAUGAAAGCCGUAUACAAAAUAGAAUAAAUCUACGCAUGUAAUUUACAUGUACCAUUAUAAUUAUAUUGUUUUAGAAAUCCUAGACCAAUGUCUAUACUCUACAGCAGCUUCUAUACUCUACAACAAUGUACGUUUGGUGUGGGUUAAUUUAUCACCAUCGUCUCGACGGUAAUCUCUAUUCCCAACCUAGGGGUGUGCAUUACACGAUUGGGAAAGAAUCUCUGAACUUCGCCAAUAAGUAACUCAACUAAACAGUUAUGUAUGUGAUUUCAAAAGAAAGAUAUAAAUGGCAAGGUGUUUAACAACUCUGCAUGCAUGUUGUAUCGUGCUUAUUGAGUGAACAAAACAAAUAUCAGGAUAGAAACUAAGAAACAGAAUGCAUACCACCAGGAACACAGCCACCACUAGCUCUGUCACAGAAUAUUGCGUGAUAAAAGCCCGCCAUGCUAACUCAGCAGCUUCCUCAGCUGACAUGUUGAAUUUGUAACUGAAAUGUAAAGCACAAACAUAAGGGAUGCAACUUCAAGAUAAUAUGAACUGUGAGCAAGGCAACAUAUAGAGGUAUAAAAAACAUACCCCUCAUCCAAGAUACCAUAAGCAUACAAAGAACUACAGAACCGGCUGCUUCCCUUGAGCCUUGCACCC